rnacentral:rRNA from 1 species
CCUACGGGUGGCAGCAGGCGAGAAGCAUGCACAAUGGGGGAAACCCUGAUGGGGCGACGCCGCGUGGGGGAAUGAAGGUCUGCGGAUUGUAAACCCCUGUCAUGUGGGAGCAAAUUAAAAAGAUAGUACCACAAGAGGAAGAGACGGCUAACCCUGUGCCAGCAGCCGCGGUAAUACAGAGGUCUCAAGCGUUGUUCGGAAUCACUGGGCGUAAAGCGUGCGUAGGCUGUUGCGCAAGUCGUGUGUGAAAGGCGCGGGCUCAACCCGCGGACGGCACAUGAUACUGCGAGGCUAGAGUAGUGGAGAGGGAACCGGAAUUCUCGGUGUAGCGGUGAAAUGCGUAGAUAUCGGGAGGAACACUCGUGGCGAAGGCGGGUUCCUGGACAGUAACUGACGCUGAGGCACGAAAGCCGGGGGAGCGAAAAGGAUUAGAUACCCUUGUAGUC